GUUGAUUUGUCCUCUGCUUCUUCCUUAAGGAUCUCCUUAGGCGUUGAGUUUAGAGCCUGUUCCUCCUCUAAAUAGGCCACUGUAGUAACAUGCUCACCAGUUGUUGUUUCUUUUAUAUCCUCAAAUGUUGCAUCUUGUGAACUUGUAACAUCAUCCCCUAAACCUUUUCCUGACACAUAAACCUCUUGUUCCUUUUCUUCAUCUUCAACUUUGCUUGCUAUUUCGUUUUCAUUCAGAUCGAUAUUAACACUGUCAGAAAGUUUUAACCCUUCUUCAGAUUCAACCUUCUCUGAGACAGUCUCUUCACAUACUUCCUUCACCAUGGUCUCUGUAUUAGAACUAUCAGAGUAGUUCACCUCUUCUUUAUAUUCAAUUUUCUCUGAACUAGCCUCUUCACAUACUUCAACACUUGGUUUGGUUUCUUCAGUAUCUUUCUCUUGCUCAAUUUCUGAACCAGACUGUACAAUUUUGUUGUCACUUUCUGCAGACUUUUGUUCUUUUUUGUCCUAUUAGAGAAGAAAUAUUCAGUAUAUUAUACGACUGAAAGAAAAGAAAUGAUGAUUUAUAUAAACAGGCUUAAAGUUUUUAAAAACAAUCUUAAGGGUAGGUUUUUUUCAUUGUUAUUCUAUAAAAUAAAUGUGAGCGACAGUUGUACUUUAUAACAUGAAUCUACAUUGGUUAGUGAUAAAAAAAAGCAUUUCAAGUUUUAGUUGGAAUGAUGUACAAGUAAAACCUUUUGGAUUGUUUAGGAGUUAACAUGGUAUGAACAUGAUUUACCUCUUGAACAUCAAUCACACUCUGAUUCUGCUCCUCGAACUCGAUAUUAGCCACUGGGGUAGCCUGUUGACCAAUUGUUGUUUCUUUUAUAUCCUCACUGGAUGCAUUCUGUGAUCUUGUAACAUCAUCUCCACCACCUUGGACUUCUUCUGACAUUUUAAGCUCUUGUUCCUUUUCUUGAUUUUCCUCUUUGCUCACUAUUUCGUUCUCAUUCAAUUCAGAUUCAGCCUUCUCUGAGGUUGUCGCAUCAUAUACUUCCUUCACCAAGGGGCUUUCAGACUUCUUUGUUUGAUCAUCAUCAUUCACUAAUGCCUCUUCAUCAAUCUUUAUAUCAUCUUUUGUAUCAGCACUAGAUUUGAUUUCUUGAGUAUCUUCGUCUAUAUUCUCUCUAGGUUUGACAAAUACAGGUAAGUUCUCUAUAGUGGUUGCAUCUUGUGAGCAUGUGAUAUCAUCUUUUCCUUGGUCUUCUUCUGAAAUGAUGGACUCUUGUUCUUUUUCUUUUUCUUGAUCUUUAUCAUUGUCAGAAGGUUCUACCCCUUCAAAAUUUCCCUUCUCUAAUUGAGUUUCUGCACAUACUUCAAUCACAUCUUCUUCAUAGUCUGUAAUCUUCACUUGUUCCUUUUCAUCUAUUUCCACACUUGGCUUGAUUUCUUCGGUAUCUUCAAUUUUGUUGACAAUUUCCUCGGGAUUUUGUUCUAUUUUUUCGUUUGCUCCACUCUCAUACUGCUCGCUUGCCUACAUGAAAACAAGUAUUUUGAGUACAUGUGGAGAAUGAAAGUAAUACAUCAUGAUAAGUCUAAUGCAUAGUCAAAGUUUUAAAACAAUCUUUGUGGCAGCUUCCAAAAAAAUUGUGAGCCAAAGUUGCUAUAAACUACUUUAUAGAAUGGUUUUCUCUAAACAUUUAUCAUCUUAUGAACACUAACUCUUCUCAACAAAUGAAAUUAAACCUUUGGAGGAGACAAGCAUUUGACAUUAAAACUAUGUAUGAAAAUCAUAAUAUUGUCUUAUAUUUUUAUAGAUUAAACAUAGAACUAAUAAGAACUCUAACUCUUCACUUACUUGUUGCUCCGUUUCAACACUAGGUUUGAUAUCUUCAGUAUCUUCCCCUUGCUCUGUUUCUGAAGAAGACUUUGCACUUUUGUUGACAAUUUCCUCAGGCUUUUGCUCACUUUUUUCCUCUGCCUCAUUAUCGCACUUCUUGCUUGCCUAUUCGAGAAAAUAUUUUCAGCAUAUAGGAAGAAUGAAAGAAAAGAAAUGAUGUUUUAUACGAAUAGGCUCAAAGUUAUUGAAAACAAUAUGUGUGAUGUUUCAUUGUUCUUUCUUUAAACAGAUUGUUAAUGGAAGUUCUUUAUAACGUGGUUUUUUCUAGGCAUUUAUCAUUUUCUUGAACAUCAUGUUAGAUUGGUAUGGCAUGCGCUUCGGGCUCAACAAUGGUGGAGGAGAAGAAUAUUUGACAUUAAAACAGUGCAUGAGGUUCAUAAGAUGAGUCUUAUGGUUUAAGCAUAGAGUAAGUAAGAAAAAGCAGCAACAUUUCCAUAUUUGUACAUACUCUACAACUUAAUAUAAACUAUGUCCAGAAUUUGUGUAUGUUAUCUUGUUUAGGGCCUUUAUAGGGCAUAAUGCAUGCUUCUUAGUUUUUCUUUUUCAUAAACAUGAGAUAAGAAAUUAUGUAGCAGACAACAUUUCCAUAUUUCUUAAGAAUAUGGCAUUUCAAAUUUUAGUUGGAUUGAUUUACAAGUAAAACCUUUUUGGAAUAGUUAGGGUUUCCUUAUAACGACUAAUGAACAUGAGUUACCUCUUGAGCAUCACUUGGUUUGUCCUCUGCUUCUUCCUUGAGGAUCUCUUCAGGCAUUGGACUUAGACUCUGUGCCUCCUCUAAAUGAGCCACUUCGGUACUAGCAUGUUCAUCAAUUGUUGUUUCUUUUAUAUCCUCACAUGUUGCAUCUUGUGGACUUGUAACAUCAUCCCCAUCACCUUGUCCUUUUCCUGAAACAUAAACCUCUUGUUCCUUUUCUUCAUAUGCUAUUUCAUUCUCAUUCAAAGCGAUAUUGGAACUGUCAUAAAAUUGUAACCCUUCUUCAG
rnacentral:lncRNA from 1 species